GACGAACGCUGGCGGCGUGCUUAACACAUGCAAGUCGAACGGAAAGGCCCUGCUUUUGUGGGGUGCUCGAGUGUCGAACGGGUGAGUAACACGUGAGUAACCUGCCCUUGACUUUGGGAUAACUUCAGGAAACUGUGGCUAAUACCGGAUAGGAGCUCCUGCUGCAUGGUGGGGGUUGGAAAGUUUCGGCGGUUGGGGAUGGACUCGCGGCUUAUCAGCUUGUUGGUGGGGUAGUGGCUUACCAAGGCCUUGACGGGUAGCCGGCCUGAGAGGGUGACCGGCAACAUUGGGACUGAGAUACGGCCCAGACUCCUACGGGAGGCAGCAGUGGGGAAUAUUGCACAAUGGGCGGAAGCCUGAUGAAGCAACGCCGCGUGCGGGAUGACGGCCUUCGGGUUGUAAACCGCUUUCGCCUGUGAAGAAGAGUGAGUGACGGUAAUGGGUAAAGAAGCACCGGCUAACUACGUG
rnacentral:rRNA from 1 species